GGCGAAACCGGUCUGUACACUGAUGAGCC
rnacentral:misc_RNA from 1 species